GCUUCCGUAGCUCAGUUGGUUAGAGCGUCGUACUAAUAAUGCGAAGGUCUCAGGUUCAAGCCCUGGCGGAAGCA
rnacentral:tRNA from 1 species